rnacentral:rRNA from 1 species
CCUACGGGCGGCAGCAGUGGGGAAUAUUGGACAAUGGGGGGAACCCUGAUCCAGCCAUGCCGCGUGUGUGAAGAAGGCCCUCGGGUUGUAAAGCACUUUCAGUGAGGAAGAACGCCUGGUGGUUAAUACCCAUCAGGAAAGACAUCACUCACAGAAGAAGCACCGGCUAACUCCGUGCCAGCAGCCGCGGUAAUACGGAGGGUGCGAGCGUUAAUCGGAAUUACUGGGCGUAAAGCGCGCGUAGGUGGCUUGAUAAGCCGGUUGUGAAAGCCCCGGGCUCAACCUGGGAACGGCAUCCGGAACUGUCAAGCUAGAGUGCAGGAGAGGAAGGUAGAAUUCCCGGUGUAGCGGUGAAAUGCGUAGAGAUCGGGAGGAAUACCAGUGGCGAAGGCGGCCUUCUGGACUGACACUGACACUGAGGUGCGAAAUCGUGGGUAGCAAACAGGAUUAGAUACCCUUGUAGUC